GAUGAACGCUAGCGGCAGGCUUAAUACAUGCAAGUCGUGGGGCAGCAUGAAUGUAGCAAUACAUUUGAUGGCGACCGGCAAACGGGUGCGGAACACGUACACAACCUUCCUAUAAGUGGGGAAUAGCCCAGAGAAAUUUGGAUUAAUACCCCGUAACAUAAUGAUGUGGCAUCACAUUAUUAUUAUAGCUUCGGCGCUUAUUGAUGGGUGUGCGGCUGAUUAGAUAGUUGGCGGGGUAACGGCCCACCAAGUCUACGAUCAGUAGCUGAUGUGAGAGCAUGAUCAACCACACGGGCACUGAGACACGGGCCCGACUCCUACGGGAGGCAGCAGUAAGGAAUAUUGGUCAAUGGACGCAAGUCUGAACCAGCCAUGCCGCGUGAAGGAUUAAGGUCCUCUGGAUUGUAAACUUCUUUUAUCUGGGACGAGAAAAGGCGAUUCUUCGUCACUUGACGGUACCAGAUGAAUAAGCACCGGCUAACUCCGUGCCAGCCGCCGCAGUAAGAC
rnacentral:rRNA from 1 species